rnacentral:lncRNA from 1 species
GAUCAUAUUGGCUAAUUAAAUAAGAAAAAGACAAACAAAAACAAUACAAAAGAAUCUGGUGGGUUGAUUAUUUUUUAUAGGAAAAGGAAGCCAAACACCUUUUUCUUUUCCCCUUAUUUAGGCACGAGUUCAGGUUUCUGACUAUCAUCAGUGCAAUCAUUCAAUGGAAGAUUAGUGAGUUCAUUAGUGCUUGCAGUUGCAGAGGUGUUUUGGAUAGGUCAUGUAUUUUUUCAGUACCAAUGCACUCUCUUCCUUCUUCCAUUUUGCCAAGUUAUUGAGCAAGAUGUGUUCCUGCGAUUGAGUUGUUACACGAAUCUCUGUUGUGGAGGGUUUAUAUGUAAAUUGGUACUAUGUGUAUUCUUUUCCUUUUUUCAUAAACUUAAUGAAAACUGUCUCUACGAUUUUAACCUUAGUGCAUCUUCUCUUCAUCGGUUAAAGUGCACAUUUUUGUUGCGUGAUAUUUGUUCGAGUGUUCUAAGACAAAUUAUUUUAUCUGUAUAGCAAAUGGGUGCAAUAUUGAAGAAACCUACUAUAGAUGGCGUCGUAACUCAAACAUUCAAGAUAUAAAUCUCAUGGCUGUCAGCUGCGGAAUAUAUUCUUGGGAAACUUAUUACUUAAUUACAUAUUUUAAAGUGUUUUUUUUUUUCAUGAAAUGAAAGGGUUUUUUAAAAGAUUUUUUGCAAUACUUUCAAGCCAUCCCUUAGGAAUUUUUGAUGAUGAUGAGAAUAAAAGUAUAGCAUACAAGGAUAAGAUAAGAAUGACAGAUACAUACUUCAGUAAUCUUUAGUGCGCAUCUUAAUAAAAAUAAGACAAUGAAAUGGUGAUGAUUGGGAAAACGAUCAUAAUAAUUAUUCAGAUAUUAAUUACAAUUGUAAUGGUUAUGACAAAAAGUUUAAGUGUUACAUAAAUUAAGAUAGUAUCAAAAUAGAUAAUAUUACUCUUUUACUAUAUCUAGUUUAAAUAUAACCUCGUAUACUAGUCAGGUGUCCGUGUCCGAUACGCGUGCGGAAGCGGAUAUAACCAGCUAUCUCGGAGCUUCAUAGAAUAUUAUAAGAAAUUUUCAUUUUAUAAACUUACAAUAUAUAGCACAGAGUUAUAACUUCAUUUUUUUUUAAGAUAAUGUGAGAAUCUAUCUCAAGUAAAAUAACAAUGAAUGUGAAAAAGUAGAAUUAUACUUAAACUUACUUCUUUUUCUUUUAAGAUAAUAUGAGAAUCAAUCUCAUCAAAUAUAAUAACAAUGAAAGUGAAGAAUACAAUAACAAGUGAAUAAUGCAUUAGAAACCAUUCAAAUUUUAUAUUAACAAAAAAAAAUGCCUAACUUUUUAUGUAACAAGUUUGUUUUAUAAAGUAAAACUAAACUUAAAUUUAUUUAUUUAUAAAAGUGAAAAUAUUAAUAAUAAUGAUGUAAGUAAUGAUAAGAUAUGUUGGUAGUGAUAGUAAAAAUAAUAAUAAUGAUAAAAAUAAUAAUAACAAUAAUGAUAAUAACAAAAUUUAUAAAACUGAUAGUAAUUGUGACACUAUGUUAUGUUAGCAAUUCAUUCAGAUGAUGUAUUAUAAUAAGAUGGUAAUAACAUUAAAACUAAGAGAUGGCAAAACAGAUCAUUCCAAUUCAUUUUGGUUUGGUCUGACACUUAUCCGUCAAAAGCAGGACAACAUGGGGUGACCUACUAAGGUUAUACAGACUGACAUUGAUAAUCCAUCUCAUCAUAGAGUGGUUUGGCAGGCUUAAGGGCUAGCCCACUACUUUUUAUUUUAUUUUUUUGUAUUUUUUUGGAUUUAUUUUGGAUUUAUUUACUUAGUUGUAAUAAUUAAUAUUACUUUUUGGACAAUAAAAAUGUAAGGUUGACUGGCUAGUCCGCUUCACCCGUAACCCGUUGGAUUGACAGGCUGAACCAAUAUGAAUAGACGAGUUAAUCUAUUCCACUUAAAUAAUAAUGAGUUGAGAGAUUGAUUCGUCAAGCUUGAUCUAUCUUAUCAUUUUUAAUAAAACUAGUAGUUAUAAUAACAAUGACAAAUUUUAAUAAUAAUUAUUAUUAUUGAGAAAUGGAAUUAAUAAUAUAAAUGUAAGAACGAUGAUUAUAUUAAUAUAGUAAUUAUUUUAUAACAAUAAUAAUUCAGACUACUUAUAUAAUAGGAACUCCUAUAAUAACAAUAACAUCUAUUUUAUAUAACUAUUUUCUAAUUCAACUCUCCCAACAAAAAAAACUUGAAAUAUCUUUUACCCAAAAAAAUAUAAAAGAAUAAAAGAAAUUAUAUUUUAUCAUAAUCUAAAUAAUUGAUUAAUAAAAUAUGAAAUAUGCUAUUGACGUAAUGAACGAAAUCUUCAGCAUACUAUAUAGUAUAAUAUUAUAACAUUAACGUUAGAUACGAGUCGGUAUGAAACAUCUUAAUUCAUAGUGGAAAUUUAUUUGUCAUAAAAAAUAACUAUUAAUUACUCAUUUCAAUAGUCUUCUUAAGUAUUUAAGAGGUAUAAAAUUUAGACUAAAAAUAAAAAAAAUAUUUAAUCCAAAAUUAAAUAAAGACUUCUAAUAUAAGUGAAAUGUCAUUAAGUUGUAGUUUUAAAGAACAAAUUCAAUAUUAAAAUGUGUUUUUAUAACUAAUUUGAUACUAAAUAAAAAAUUAAAGAUUAAUUUAUAUUUUUCAUACAAGUCAAAAUUGUAUUUUAAAGAUUGAAUUGACAUUAUACCACACAUUAGAGAAAUUGUUCCAUGCUUCUUAUGAUAUCUUAUGUCCUUCCAAAUCAAACAACCAACAUUCGAUUUUGAAUUAAAACACUUUAUAAAUUUUAAACUAAUUUUAAAUCAUCUAUACAUUUAAGAACAAUGUACAUUUUUAUCCUCUCUUGCAAGUUAUUCAUUUAGUGCUUCACCAUUGGCACAAAUAUUUAUAGAACAUUUCGCAUACAAAUGUUUUAAAAUAUAAUUUCCCAAUACAAAUGUUUUAAAAAGGUAUUAAAUUUAAGAAUUAUUUGUUUAAAACAAGUUGACGUGACAUAAUAAAUAUCUUAAAUUAAAAUAAAUAUUAUAUAAGAUCUUAAAAUAAAAUAAAUAAAUAUAUUCAUAUUUAUAACAUUAUUUUCUAUAUUUUAAUAAUUUUUGAAGUUACAAAAUAUUUAAUGCAAAUAAAAAAUUAUAAAACUUCAGUGCUAAUGUAAAUUUCAUAAAAAUAAAAUCACAUAAUAAAAUAAAAUAAGAUGUUAUAUGAAUUUAUAAAUUCCUUGUAAUAAAUUAAGUAUAAAUAUUUAUAUUUUACCCAGGAAAGAAAGUAUAGAAAAUAGAAAAUAAAAAACAAAAGAAGCUAAAAAAAAGAUAAAAGACUUCAGAGCGCAAAACGCAAAACCCAGAACCCUAACGCUUGACCCUAAUACCAAUCUCUCAUUUGUGGUGCUUUGCUUUCGCCUUUCCUUUCACAUCAAUGGCCGACUCUGUAGUUUCGAUCCAGUACCUCAAAGAUUUCUUCAAUUCUCAAAUCUACGACGAUGAGAAAUGGGCCUUCAAUGUGGUAAUAUCUCUAACCAUUCUUCUAUUCGUUUCGCACCCGUUUCUUUCAUUCUUUUUUUCCUUCCGUUCCUAUUUAUUUUGAAAUUUUACAGUUUUAAUCCAUGAAAUGAAACCCUUUUUGAUCUUGAGCUAUUCUGUGUGUUUUGUGCUAAGGUGCUAAGGAAGAAACCUUAUUUUUUAUUUAUUGUGAUAUGAGUGUGCCUUUAACUUGCAAAAUGAAUGGGUUUUCAUUACCCCCAUCGCCCAUUUUACUCAUCGUUGCAACAUAACAGCUCUGUGACGAACCCGUGAUUUUAUACCUUGUAGAGUCGAAUCCGUUGUCACUGUCAAUUGGUGUGAAUGCUUAUAUGGAGGUGGUUCAAUUCUUGGUUCUUGUGGGUUAUGAGACAACUGUUGAUUGCAUUUGCAUCUGUUCCAAUUACAUACCUGAAUUUUUCAAGUCGUUGUGUUGAUAAUCCUGUGGCUUUUGGAUAUUUAUUCCUGUGGUAGCUAUUACCGUUGUUUGUUAUAUUAUAUUACUUUCAAGUUUUGAAGAUGCUGGUUCUCUUCUCAUUGCCUGCACCUUAAUGACAAUGGCAUUGCCUUUACCCUUUGAUUGUUUGAGAGAGAAAAUGAAGGGAGAAAGAGCAUUUUGAAAUUUGAACUGAAGAGAAAACGAAAGAAAGAAGAAUUUGAACUUUUGUUUCUAACAGUCAACUUUUAUCCUUUUUUUCCUUUCUAUAUUUACUCUUAAACUAAACGUAAGAAAAUACAUUAUUGUCCGGUUUUCCCCCCCUUUCUAUUUCUUUUUCCUCUCACCCAAAGAGAGCAUUGGUUUCGUAGUAAUUUAGGCGCACUCUGCUGUCAAACAUUAUGAUCAGUUUUGGCAAGAAGCUCUUAAGCAUGAUGCACGAUCUGUGAUUAUUGUAGAAAAUAUAGUAUGGGCAGUUGAACCCCAUAAAUUUAUUAUCCUGGGAGUAAUGGAUAGCUACUGUAACUUUUCACCUAGACUAAGCAACCACCGAACUUUCUGAUUAAUUAGGAUACUCAUGAACUUGGUUUUAGAGGAAAUGCUGGUCGUAGAACAUGAAAAAGAUUGUUGCACUGGCUAUUAAGUGACUAGUGCCGUUUAGUUUUUACUUAAUUAUAGAGGUAUUUCUUCAUGUUUAUAUCUUGAAGCUUGAUUUAGUUUAGAACGAAUGUUGAUUCUCUUGUUUAUUUGGCAUGUAGAAAAUGCUGCGUGCUGCGGGACUUUUUGCAGGAUCAAUAGUACUCAUGCGAAAUUAUGGUGACCUUAUGGCAAUCUGAAAGUAGAACAAGUGACAAGUUCUCUGCCAUGAGUUUCUAUUAUCUACUUAAACAGUAUUGUAAUGUCUAGCUUUUUUGUUUUUGCUUUAUUUUUCAGUAAUUUGAACAUGAAGUGAGCUUCAUUGGCAUGAAGCUUUUGAUGAGCGAUGACAAUGUUUUUCCAAUUGGUUAUGUUAUAGUACAUUCACAUUUCCUUUGGCAAAAUAUGUUUUGGAUAUGAAAUAACUAUUUUGUAUGUUCUUAGAUUUAACUCUUUGGUGUAUAAAAUACUAUAGUAUAUAGUAAGAAUCAAGAAUUAUUAUAUAUAUUUGCAGCGGGCUGGAAUAGUUCGGUCAAAUCUUAUCUGUACAAGAAAAAACUCUUAUAUUUAGUAGGAAGUUGUUGUUAUGAUUGUUGCUUCUGCAAAUCAAAGCUGUUAUCUUGGCAUGAAAAUCCUUGCUACAUAGGUGAAUGAAGGUAAAAGUUUUAAAGUAGUGUUUCCAUCUUAAAUUUGUUAGUUGAAUUUGUGGAAUUGUUUUUUCUUAUAUAAAGUGCCUUUGGUAAGGUGCAUUGGCCUAAAUUAUAAGUAGUUGAUCCACACAAAAGUGGUUGAUAAGUUUUAUUUCAGGAGCUUUUAGUUUAUUUACUAUUUCUUAUAUUUUAGCAUAUCUUUCUAUUACUCUUAAUUUCUUUGAUCUAUUAUUACAUAUUUUAAUUUUGUAGAUAUAUUAAACUAUUUAGUAUUUGUUGGUUGCUUUUUAAUUUGGCAUGUAGUGUAAAUUGAAAUAAGUUUAACAUUAUAAAUUGAAGAAAGUAAUAUUUCAUUAUAUAAUGUUAUUUAAAAAUUACAUAAUGAAAAUGUUAAAGAACAAAUUUAAAAAUUUAUUUUUUGAAAACAAAUAAAAAUUAAAUUUGAUUACCAGAUCAACUCAUUUAAAUAAAAAGAUUUGUUUAAAUGAAAAAGCUUAUACAAUUAUUAAAAGAAAGAAAAAAUACUAAAAAAUAAUUAUUUAUAAAAGUUAAAAUUAAAAAUAUAUAAUAAUAUAUUUGUCUGAAGGGUAUAAUAAAGUUUAUGUAGUUAUAUUUUUUGAUCAAUUAAUUUGGUCUAAUCUUUCUAAUCAAUAGUUAAUAAGUUAGACUAUUAAAGGUUUUGCAUACGUUUUUUUUGAAACAAGUUACAAUAAAAUACAAAAGGUAUCUAUUAAAAUUAUUUAAGAAUUGUCUAUCCUUAUCCAUAUUAUCCAAUAGAAAUUAACUUUUUUUUUCACACUUAAUUAUUAAAAAUAUUGUUAGUAUGAUUUUUAAAAUGAUUUUUUCAUUUGAAAUGCUAGUGAGACUUGUGUAGUUGCGUAUUUGUAAAGCUUUGCUUUAUUCUUGGUUUAGAAGGCUAUUCAACAUCAAUCCAACAAUUUUUCUCAACCAUCUUCAAUUGCCCUCAUUGUUAGAUAAAUCUAAAACAAAAUUGAAAAAGUGUCACACUACUAAAACAAGUCUCUCUCACUUUUGUAUUUGUAUGGAAAUAAUGUUAAAAAACUAAUUAAAAAAAUCGUAGUUUGAAAGGAAUUUAUGAAAAUGGUGAAGAAGCGUCAAACCGAUUUCAAUAUGUUCUUGAAGAUUUGGAAUCCUUUUUAUACGUGUCCCUUUUAAUUUUUGUUUUGUUUUUUUGUUUUGAGUUCUCUAAUUUUUUCACUUCUUGCUCUUUUAGUCAUUGAUAUAAAUAUUUAUGAUUAUAUUUCAACGUUUAAGUUAAUUUUUAUUUAAGUAUGUUAAUUUUUAGCGUAAGUAAAAUAUGUUAGUUUAAGAUUAUGAUUACUUUUAGCUUUAAUGUAUUCUUUUAUUUAUAAUAGUUGUGUUGGGUCUUUGCCUGUACAAAUGAUUAGGUCGGAUAUAAUGAGAUCUAAUUAUCUUUUAAUCAAAAUUUUGGAUAAUUCUCAUUGCUAGAGUAUUCGGCAUUACAUUGAUAUAAACUACAUUAAGAACUUAUCAUGUUGAUACUCGAAUAAGAAUAUAAAAAAAUAUCUACAAAUUUAUUAUUUUAAGAUUUUUGACUUAAAAGUAAUAUUUUAUAUAGUUAACUCAUUAUUUACGUGUAGACAAAAUCUUUGAUUAUCAUAACAGAUAAAAAAAAAAAAAAGCAACGCUGCAAUUAUUGUCAAUAAGCUGAAAUUAAAAAACGUUGUGUGAAUUAAAAUAAAUACAUUUUGUUUAUCCUUCAUUGUAUGAUUGAUUGAAAUUUUGAACUAAAACUUACACAAAUAGUAAGAUAAUAAAAGAAUAGUCUUAAAACCCAACAAAUCACAUUUAAAAUAUACACCAAUUUUGUACUCGCUCGAUCAAGAAUUGUAGGCUUUCCUUCACUUUUAUUUCCUUUUCUUUUUCUUUUUUAUGGAUAAAAUAUGCUCUUUCCUUAUAAUAUUAUUGAAUUUUAUUUUAGUUUAUGUGAUUUUUAUUUUAUUUUCAUUCAUGUAAUUUUAAAAUUAUUAUUUCUAGUUAUUUAUAUCACUCUCUUUUUAUAAAAAUAAUGAUGUCAUGUAAGCUAAAAAAGUAGCAUAUUUACAAGAGUUAAAGAAAAAAAAAGUUAUAUAAAAUUAAAAUAAAAGAUAAAGUAUUUAUAGAAAAAAAAACACUUAUUAUCCCAUUUCAUAAAGUUUCAAGUCUUAAUCUUUGAUUUUUUUUAUAAAUAAGUUCAAAACAAUUAAUUAUUUACUUUAAUUAAAAUUAUUUUUAUUUAAAUGUUUAAACUCUCUAAACUUUUUUCCUAAGAUUAUCCAUCUUUUCUUACAAAAUAUAUAAAUAUAAAUAAUAAAUCAAUCAAAAUUUUAACCAAAACAAGUAAUUAUUUCUCUUAGUAUGGAUCAUAUCACUCUUUAUUUAUUUUUUUUAAGUUGGGGAAAAAUUAUGCAACAAGCUAUCCAAAUCACUCGAGGAUGAGAAAAAUACGAUGAUAAUAUGAAAAAUAGAGAAGUUGAUUAUAUAAGUUCAAAUUUUGAAAGUUCUAUCAGCUUCUUACAAAUAUUGAAGUUGCUUUUAUUGCAAGGCGAGCUACUCCAGAUAGAGAAAACUAAUUAUUCAUAUUAUUUAUUUUCUUAAAAUUUAAAUGUUUAAGAAAUAUGUUGAAUGCUCGGAUUUUAGGUUUACAAUUCUUUAAGUUUGAAAUAGUAGAUAUAUUUGUGAUAUAAUUUACAUAUAUGCAUACAUGUUUACUUUUGGAAUGAGGUAUGAUUUUGGAUUAUAAAAUUAUGUGGGGACAAUUAGAUUUGAGUAAUUAGAGAAUUGCUUCUGGUGUGAUGAACAACUAUUUUUUCUAUAUUACUCGCUUGAGCAUUAAGUUAUUAUUUGAGCAAUGCUUAAGUGGUGGUAAUCAUUACUAACAUCAAUCACUAUUGAUCAAGUACUACUAUGAUCAUUUAAGUAACAAUGUCUCUCGCUCAAAUGUUAUCAUGAUCGUUUAAUCUAUAUUGUUCCUUGUUCAAGCUAUAAUUUUAUAUUUAACCAAGAAAAAUGUCAAAAUAAUGAUCAUUUAUUUAGAGCUCUCAUUGCUCAAAAUAUGAAAAGUUAGAGUUUCAAGGAUGUUUUGGUACAUGGUGACAAUAAGUCACGUGUGACUGUUGAACUUUGAGAGAGUCAAUCUUGACUCUCUCUCUCUCUCUAGGAGUUUUGGUCAGUCAAAUGAUGACUUCAUGCUUAAGUGAGAGAAACAUUAUAUCGAUAAUCUCUCUUAUAUCCUAGUAUUGCACAAGUGACAUAAGUUUAUUUAAGUUAUAUAAAUGUUGCUCAAAUUAUGAAUAGACAAUUUAGUGAUAAGUUUUCACAUAUAUAAUGAAUAUAUGCCACUUAAGAAAAGUAAUUUUAUUGAAGAGACAUAUCUCUAAUUUUUUUUUUUAUGUACAAAGAAAGUAUAUAAAUGAUACCAUGUAAAAUUAAUCACAUAUCAUAUUCAAAGAUUACCAAAAAAAAAAAUUAUAUAAAAAAAUAUUUCAAAUAUUAUUAUUCACUCAUAUAUCAUAACAUUAGUUAUAAGUUAUACAUAGGAUUCAAUUAUAAAUUACUUACUCAGGUAUAAUAAGGGAUUUAUUUUAACUAAAGUAGACAUACAAAUAAUACUAAUUAAAUAUAAGAAUAAUAUCAUAUUAAAUUUAUUUUAUUUUAUUUAAGUUGUGUUGAAACCUACCAACAAAGUUUUUGUGAAAAAAAUAAAUGAAUGACAUGUGCAUUUACCAAAACUUUGAAAAGAAAAUGGUACUCUCUAAUAGUGGUCUUGUUCAACACCACGUUUAUCAUUUCAUCCCCACGCAGGAAAGUUGGAAUAAUUCUUUCCCACCUCUCACCUUUUUUCUAACCACAAUCUUAUCAUUACGAGAUAAACAACAUAAUAUUGUUUUUAACGGCUAGUGCAUUUUUUUUUUAAAUUACGAAGUUCAACUUAGGAAUAGAAAAAAGGUAAUUGUAUAAUUAAAAAAGUGCUAAACGCACUUUGUUUUAAAAAAUAUAAUCAUUAAUUAAAACCAAGACUUAUAGUAGAAUUUGACUGUCCAAUUUAUAAAUAAUAAUCAAGUUUAUUUGUGUGAAUAAAAUUUGAAGAGUGCAUUUAUGUGUAAAUUUUAAAAAAUAGGUUUAUUAAGAAAAAAUAUCGUAAAUAUACGUUUAUAUUAAUUUGAAAAAUGAAACAUAAUUAAAAACGUGGGUCUAAACUUAAAUUUUGCAUUGACUCUUGAUUAUUCUUAACAAGAAACAAGUUGGGAUUUUUCCACACUCACAAGUUCGUGCUUCUUAAUUUAACUUGACCUUCAUACCCCUACCAUGUUUUGAAAAUUACAUGGGAACCCCGUACGAGGCUGAAGUACAAGUGUCGUAUUGUAAGCAAUGACAGUGACAGUGACAGAGGAUUUGGAUUCAGAAGCAGCUUGUGUGACAAGAUACGUGAACCUUUAUCUCCAUUGAUUAACACGUGGAAAAUUUGAAAAGCAUUCUCACCCUUUGAGCAGCUUAAAAACAUUGCAUGAACUCACACACUUUUCACUUCUCACCUCAGGUCCACACUUCUUUAUGCCAAACCAAACUGUGUAAGCUUUCCUUAGCUGGCUUCCUUGUUUUUGUUCAAUCUUCCUCAAAUUAGCAUCUACCCAAGUGAACAUAAUUUUGUGUUUUUAAGUUACAUUUUCAAAUUCAGCUACCUCUUACUUUAACUUUUAUGAUCAUAUUAAAGUUUACAUCAGUGAUUGUUACUGUAUUAUUAGUAAUUGUUGCUGUAUUUAUUGAAUCAGUUAUCACAGUUUCAUAUUGAAUUGUUGGAUAAAUUAGUUGGGACUGAAUAGACACUAUGUUUAGUGAUUAAAUUUAAUGAUUGUGUUUUUUAUAAUUUUUAUUUAAAAAUAUAUUGUAUUUGUUAUUGAUGUAUAGAGAAUAAAAAUAAAAACUUAAUAGUUAUCAAUAGACCUAAAUUACAAUUGGCGACGAAAGACGAUAAAUUAUGGGUUAUUUAUUAAGUGUAGUUGAUUCCACAUGCGUUUUUUACAAUAAUGAAUCUCACAUUUAAUGGUAUAAAUCAAACAGUGUGUGUUGUUUCCUUUUGCUGUGUCUACGUCACUUGGUGAGUACACUGCUGACAUUGUGUAAUCCGUGAGCCACCCUCAUCCUCGUGUUUUUAACUCUUUUGUUCCCACAGUACCCACUUGUUUUUGUGAAUGUGACAUUCAGUCCCUAAAAUUAAAUUCAGAGCUUGCGUUUAGAUUUUGACUUUCCUGUUUAUAUUUCAUUUGCAUUAUUAUCUUUUGUGUCACAUGUAGUAUAUAAUCCUGGCGACACUUUUCCCAGUGUGGAGGAAGUGGAUACCCUUUCAUUCCUCCAAAUUUUAUGGCUUAAACUUGUUUCCUUUUUCAUUCAGAGGGAACAAGUCUUCUUCAAAGGAGUUGUUCUGUUCUAUGACUCCACCUUUUUCUUGGAUUUCAAUGGAGGUGACAAUAAACCAGAAAAAAAAAUAUAUAAAGCUGAUUAAAUUGAUUUAUUCAUUCACACUAGAAAGUCACUGUGUUUUUUUAUUUAGCAGGGAUUUUAUUCUGAGAAAUCAUACACUAACUCUGAGCAGAUAGACCUUACUCUCAAGCUUUCUCCCUGCGGUCAAAGUGUAGAAGAAAAGAUGGUUCUAACAAGUUCACCAUCAACAAUAAUUGGGGAGAAAGCCCAGAUCAGAAUAAUGGAAAAUGGGGUUCAAGAGAAUCCCUUUGUUCUGUGUCUAGCAGAGGGUGAGAAGGGUCUGGUGAGGUUUGGGGACUUGCAGACAAUGAGAAGAGUGAGGACUGGAAAGAGAUUAUUGAUGAAGAAGAUGCAGAUGGCUGCGGCUGCAGAGGCAGAGAAGUCUUCUCCGGUGUCUCUUGCUGGUGCUCAGCCACUACCUCCCUCAAUUGAUGAUAAUUUCAAGAUGUUUGCACAUCCUUCUUGGGAUCUAUGGCAUGAAGGUAACCUUUUUUUUCUCUUUGGUUUGUUGACCAUGUCAUGAGCAUGCACUUUUUUAACAUAAUUCAUGUAUUUUGUGAGUGUUAUUUAACACUGAGAUAUAGUUGAAAAAAAAAACUACCAUGAUUACUUAUUUACAAUCUGAUAGACCUCCUAUUACACAGUUUUAUGAGUACAGAUAGGAAUAAAGGAGGUGGUGUAUCCCACGUGGGUGAGAAGGAUAAUAAGUAGGGGAAUUAUGAGGAACAAAACAUGCUGUGACAGGAAAACAACAGAAUUGAUGAUGUGAAAUUAUUGUAUUUUCUGACUAAUAUGUGUCCAUAGUUCCAUCAAUCUUCACUGUACAAUAGAUCUCAUUCUUGUAAAUUUGAAAAAUAUGAUCAAUCUUCACUAAUAGACCAUACAAUAAUUUCUGGUACUCGAGAUAGUGUGAUAAUUGAGACUAGAGGAAGCAUUUGACUUUGAACUGGAACUGAGUAAUGUUCUUCUGCAUGACAAAUCAAGUCCAUUAAUUUUUCCAUUAUAUGGAAGCAAAAUAUUAUGAUACUGAAAUUAACACUCAUUUCCAUAAGCUAAAUUAUUUUUAUCUAGAUCAGCAAUAUGACUAACAUUUCCAAAUUCCACAAAUUUUCCGUCCUAAAUCUGUCUCUGUGAUAUUCCCAUUUAGCUUAAAAUAUUCAUAGUUUUGGAAUCAGGGGUGGUUGUUCUGCACAUGACUUCCCAAAGUGUUAUCCACAGGUAAUUUUUCCACCAAAACGGAAAUGUUUUUAUAAACUUUCAUAAUGAAACAAGAAUUUCUCAUGUUCACAACUGUUUUAUGCAUAGAAAACCAGUUUAUGGGAAACAUUUUGUUAAAGCUUUUUUCUCUAGACAACAUAACAAGUGAAAAACUAGUGACUUGAUAAACUAUAUAUGCAUAAAUUACUUGUAUUUGGAAUUUUACCAGAAGUUUCUCACAGAACAUUAUAAUAACUUGUCUUUAUUACUUAUAAACACUUUUUUGUCUUCUUAUCUGAAGGAGGAGUUAGUUCCAAUUUCCAAACAUCACCAAAGCUGGAAAAUGAUCCAAUGCUUUCUCCAAAAGCAAUGCAGGAAAUGAUACUGUGGCCAUCUGAGAUUAUGAUUGAGAAGCCAGCCAAAAAGCAUAAACAUGUGAUCUCCUAUGAUGAUAGUGAGGCAAUGGACAUUGUGAGAAAAAUGCCUUGCAUGAUUACUACUGGAGAUGACACAACUGGGAAGAGAAUAGAAGGGCUUCUGUACAAGUAUAAGAGAGGCCAAGUUUGUAUUUAUGCCUCUGCCAUGGCAGCUUUGUCUCCCCCACAGAAUUUGUGAUGCAUGCUGGUGGCAAGGAAGUGGCAGAUCCCAUGAAACACAUUACUGGUUGUUCUGAUUCAUUGUAUAUCAAUGGAGAUGAUCCCUUUUAGAAUGUGUAGAAGCAGCUAACACCCCUUUUAAAAUGUGUAGAAGAAGUUAAGAAUCCUUAGUUUUCUAUAAUUAUCUUAUCCAUGGUUCUUAGUAUGACUGUGUAAGGGGAAGUUUUCAUCAAAGACAAAGAUGGUUUUCCCCAUUUGCUAACCUUCACAUUGGUGUUGAAAACAAAUGAAAAAAAAAAUAUGGAGCCGAACUUGUAUAAUUAAGAAUACAAAAUACUUUCUCAAGAAAAAAAUAUUUUUUUUAUUAUAUUCUUUAUUUCAUUUAUUAAAAAUUACUAAAACAUAUGUAUGUUGUUUGGAAUAAAGAAGUUGUUUUAAAGUUGCUGAUAGUUUUAAAACAUGAAAAUCUUGAAUUUAUUUAUUUAUAAAGAUCCUUUAUUAGAUUAUUUUUUUUAUAAUUGUCACAUGGAGGAUUUUAAUUUAAAUUUUUAAAUUCAUCAAUAAUAUAUAUUUUUAAUGUAGAUUAAAAAUAUCAUUAACAAUUCAUCACUAAUAGCAUAGAAAAGAUAAAAUAAAAAGGAAUGAUUAUUUUUCUCUUAUUAAUUUAUAAAGAACCAAGAAAAAUAUUUAUAUACAAAGCAUUGAAUUAUUCACAUGGUUGAAAUUUUAAUUCAUAUUAUUAAUUAUAUAUUUUAUGAGAGUACGUGAGAUUAGCAUUGGUUAAUAUUACUUUUAUGUAAAUGUUUAGUUUGGAAAAAAAAUGUUUUGAAUGCUUGAGGAAGAUGAGGUUUAGUGUUUAAGUCUACAACUUGAUUGGAAGUGGAAAAUAGGGAUAAAGUGAAUGAGACUAUCUUGAAUGUGAUUAAAUCACAAUCAAUUUUAAUAUACUUUGUAUGUUUCUUAAAUAAAUAAUUUUAUUAUUGAAAUUCUCUUGUGAGUGAGGUUAAUGUUUUAUAUUCAGAUUUAUAAAAGGAUUUAGAGAGUAUUUUUCUUCUUGUACUUCCAAGAAACCAAAACAUCCCCAAAUGAAAUACAAAAUCAUGUGCUAGAAAGUAUACUAUCAAGACAAUAGACUUAAUCAGAAUUUGAAAAAACUUGGAUGUUAACAUUACUUUAUGAAGGAAAAAUAGGUCUAUAUGGAGAUACCUUUAAAUAUUUGAGAACAUGAUGUGCAAUUUGUAUAUAAGGUUGGAUUGACUAAAGUGUUGGACAACAAAACAAAUUUUUAGAUGAGUAUUAAUUAAAUAAAGAAAAUUUCUCAAUAAUUUCCCUUCGUCAAUUUUCAACAAGCAAUAUGGAUCCAUAGAAGAUGAUCUGACUUGAAAACUUGAAAGCUAACAUGUCACCGUCAAACAGUAGGUCAAGACAAUACAUUCUUUUGUUAAGUAUCAUACCAUUACUAGAAGGAUAAAACUUCAAUCUUAACAAAAAACAAAGAGGAUCAAGGUCCUUGAUUUUAGAACUAGUAUGAAGAUUAUUCUUGAUAGCAUUCAAUUCUACUACAUUAUUUUCGAUGAGAAUCAUAUUAUCAAUGUUCACAAAGAAUGACAAGCAAAGAGGAACUUGGACUCUUUACAAACAAGGAGUAAUCAAAAGUAAUUUGGACAAAAGCAAAAAAUAUAAGACUGGAAGUAAGUUUAAAAUUCUAUUUUCUACUAACAUGUUUCAAACCAUAAAGAGACUUUCACAAUUUGCAAACUUUUUGUGAAUGAUUAAGAUGUAAACCUAGUUGUUGAAUUAUAUACACCUCUUCUUACAAAUUACCAUAAAGAAAGGUAUUAUUGACAUCAAAUUGCUCUAAAAAUCAACCCCUCUAUUGUUGAAACUAACAAAACAAACUGAACAAUAUUAAAUUUUGUUAGAAGAGGAGAUUUCAAAAUAAUUUAAACAUAUGUUUGUAUAUACCCCUUAAUGACCAAGUGUGUUUUAAAUCUUUCAAUUGUACCACCAGACUUAUGCUUGAUCUUGUAAACUCAUCUACAUCUAAUAGGAUGCUUUAUUAGAGGAAGAUUCACUAGGGACCAAGUUUGUUUUUUCUCAAGAACAAGUAACUUCGUACUUGUGACUUCUUUCCAAUAAUCAUAUUUAGAUGUCUAACUAAAAAAGGUGAACUCAUUUUGAGAAAAAUAUUAAAACAAAAACUUCAACACUCAGUAUGUUAUUGAAAAUAAUUAAUAUAAGAAUUAAUUUUGAAUAAAAUAUUUAAUACCUGAAUUUGCAUGAUUAGUGACAUUAUCAUAUGAGGUGGUGGUGACAUGCUUAGAAGUAUGCUAAGAUGUUGUUGAGAGGAAUCUAUUUGUAAUUGUUGAGGAGAGCUACAAGUUGUUUAUAUUGUUGGUGAGUUAAUUCUUCCUUAGUAUGUGUUAUCUUCUUUCCCAAAAAUUGUACAUCUUCUUGGAAUUUAUUUAAAUGUAGAAUAGAUUAGAAAAAAAAAACACUAUAUACAUUAAUGAAAUCAUUCAAAUGCUCAAUUUGAGUGACUAGUAUCACAUAGUAUCACACAUCACAAUAAUAAUUAAAGAAACAUGUAUAAGCUAGAGCUUUAUUUACCAUAUAUUAUUAACCAUUCAUCACCUAUAGAAAAUUUAAAAUAAUGAAAAAGAAAAGAUAGAAGAAAAAUAAAUAAUAGAAUGUAUUUACAUUUUAGUAAUUAAAUGUUAAAAAAACAAAAAACAUAAUUUUAACUGUUGAGAUUUUUGUGAUUAAAAGAUAUUAAAAAAUAAAUGUUAAUUCUUAUAAGUCUGAAAUAUUUUAAAUAGAGAUCGUGAUAUAAAUUGAAUUUAUUUUAAAAGAAUUUAUUUCUUCAACGGGAGAUAAACUAUUUUAUUUCCAAGUACUGUAUUUAUAAUGUUUAAAUGUUAUAAACAGACACAAUUCUUUUUUGCCCCGGUGUCCUCUAGACUUAACAAUUCUUUCUAUACUUAGUUAUAAUAUAUUAAACUAUAUUGCAAAAUAUAUAUAUAUAUAUAUAUAUAAUUUAUUCAAACAGUUAUUAUAAAACUAACAGUGCUAACUUAUCUAAGUAAAUAAAUAAUAUAUAAUAUAUAAUAUCAUUGUAUAUAUAUUAUUAUUAACAAUAACAAAGCACAAUUGCUAGAGAGAGAGAAAGUCCGAAAAUUUUGACAUAACAUAACUUUAAAAUUUAAUUGAAAUCUAUAAAAAUUGUUAUAAGUGUGCAUAUAAUAAUACUUAAGAAUUUGCAUACUAAAGAUGCUCAUUCCCCCACAUGAUAGCAACUUCUUAAUUAACGAACAUACAAUGCUUGUCCAAUAUCAAAUCUUUAAGUAAAUGUCAAGAAUCUUUAGGACUUGACAUAAAAAAAAUGGUAAAACAAAAAAAAUAAACUAUUGAAGUUCCAAUAUUAAUAUAAAGUACAAUAUAAGAACUUGAAUAUGACCACCCAACAUGAGAAAGGGUUGGAAUAAGAAUAACUAAAUGUUUAUGUCAAAGUAGCAUGUAAAAUUUAAUGUUUUUUUUAUUAAUAAAGAAUAAAUAGAAUUAAAAGCAGGUCUUACGAAUUUAAUGUUGAUGUUGAAGCUACUUGAAAGCAGGUGUCACGAAUUUAUUAUAAAAAAAUGAACUUGCAAUUAGAGAAGACAUUUGUAACAAUGUUAGAUUAAUGUCUCCCAAUAAAUAAAAUUAAGGUUAGAUUAACAGGUUUCUUAAGGUAGUUAUAGAAGAUUAUAAUGUGUAAGAGAGAAAAAGUUGAUAAUUAUUUGCAUGAGUGUAAGAUAUGUUUUGUUAAGAUAUCUUUCACUAACAAUUAAGUAGGAACUCUCAUCAAAAGUAUCUACAACAACGGUAAGUAUUUUCAAAAUAGUAAAGAAUCAUAUAACCUCUUAUUCAAACAUUUAUAGUAAAGAACUCUUAUUAUUUGUCUUUGCGUUCUCCUUCUUCCUUCUUUUCUUGCAUCAUGUUAUGUCUCAGUGGUGAUUGUACUUCGAUUGCAUCAUCUCUUAGGUGAGAUCUGUCACUCUUUUACUAAAGUGUUUGUUGUCAUGCCACUAAGGUGUAUUUUAUUUAUUUAUUUUGUUUUCAUUGUUGUCAUGCCACUAAGGUAUGCUAUUUGUCUUUGAUUUUGUUUUCAUUUCAUAUACAAUAAAAAAAAAUGGAUGUAAUAAAAUAUUAUUUUCAUAUUAUAUGUAAUUGUUUCGUGAAUAAGUGAAUGCAAGUUGGAUAUAUUUUUUUUUAGUGAAAACUAAGGGAAUAGUUUUUAAGGAAAUUACAUUUGAAAUAUGAAGAAAAGUGUGUAAAGUUUGUUUACAUUAUAAUAUAAUUGCUAAUUUAUUAUGCCUAUAAAUGUAUUUAUGUUUUGUUGUGUACUGUUUUGUUUAUAUGUCCAUUUUAAUGUAAAUAAUAAUACCAAUAAAGAAUAAAUAUAAUAAUUAAAAUAAUAGUUUAAGUUUUAAUGGCAUGAAAUUAGAGUAUUGAAGUUUUUUUUUCUUGCUCAUAAUGAGAGUUGUAAUUAGUUGUAUGUUAUAUUCUCAAUCUGAAGUAUUAUUAUCUUUAAACUUUAUAUCUUCUCUGGCUUAUCUCAAAUACAAAUAGUAUAUAUUUUUUAUUAUUGAUUAUGAUUUCUCUAUAGUUUUAUUAAAUAUUUCUGUUAAUAAUUAAUAAAUUUUAUUCCUCACUUUAUAUAAGUUACAUUCUCUAGGAGAUCAUACCAACUACCUACCGAUACCAAUACAAAUAAUAAAUUUUAAUAUUAAUAAAUAAUAAUACCAAUUUUUAAAAUUAAACAAUUUUAAGGUUUAAAUUUUUAUUUUAUUUAUCUUUUACCUCUUUUACAUUAAAUAAUCUCUAUUUUUAUUCUAUUUUCCCUAUUUAAUCAUCUAUAAUUUUAUUCAUUUGUUUUAUUUUUUAAUAAGAUAGAUUUAUUUCCUAUUAUAUUUUUUAAUUAGUUUUAUUCCUUUUUUAUUAUAUUUUUAAACCCUAAACAAAAUUACUCAUGUAUUUCUUCUUAUCCAAAUCUAAUGGCUUGUUGUACUCACUAACUAUAUGAAUAGAGGUUGGACCUAUGAGGUUCGGACACUUCUCUUAAAUGAUACAGACACACGUAUCGGACAUCGACACUCGUAGAUGAAAUGUCUAAUUCCAAAAAUAUUUGUUGGAUUUCUUACAAUUUUAGCACAUGAAUUUCUGACAAUUCUAGCACAAUUUUAAAAAUGAGAAAUGCAUUAAUUUUCUAAAAACUCAAACUUAUUGUAUAAAUUUGUAUUAUGAUUAUAAAAAUAAGGAACAAAAUCCUUUUGAACCAACCAUAAAAACAUCUUUCUGCAUAAAAAAAACUAAAAUAUACUUAUGCAUAUAAAUCUUUAUUGUCAAUUUAUAUAAUUGAUUAUAUAAUAUAUAAAUUAGUGUUUCCGUAUCUACAUUUUAAAAAAUUAUAUCCAUCUUCAUUUUCAUUUUCAUGUUAUAUGAGUGUUCGUGCUACAUACAUAUAGGGUUGAUCACUUUAUUGUUUAUUAAGUUAUGAACGUGAUCAAUGGGUGUUUUAGUUUUUUUUUUCUUUGCUCGUGUAACCAACAAAAUAAUUGCAGGAUAAAAUUCACUUUUAGUGCUUCGAUUAUAAUAAUAACUUAAUUUUGAAAACAUUCACUUUUAUUUCUGAAAAGUUCUAUCUUAAAUUAAAGUACCUUUUUAUAAUAUUUUUACACUAACAAUAUUAAUUUUUUAUUUACAUGAUGAUGAAUAGUUAAAUAUCACAACUUGAAAAAAUACUAAGAGAUAGAAAAAAAUUGUAAACUUAGCAGCACCCAACUAAAAUAAAAUAAAAAAUUAAGAUACUUUUUAGUCAAUAAAUCAUUUUAAAAGGAAAAUAUUGAGUUUAUGUGAGUGGAGGGUGGUGGUUAUAAUAUCAAUAUCAUUUUAUAAAAAAAAAAUACAUAAGAAGAGGGGAAAAUUAUAGUUAGGAUAACAUAAAAAUUAUGUUACUGAAGGAUGUUACAGAUUUGGUGUAUGCAUUUAGGUUGUCAUGUUUGGAAGGAAUCUGAAAAAGCGGAGAAUAUUCGGGGAGUCAAGAUGAGAGAUUGUUCUCACUGAUACUAUUAUUUAACAGUUCAAACCAUAUUGGGCUUCAAAAUGAUGCAGUGAGGAACACACCAUAUCCACACUCAUCUCCAUGGCGUCCUUAUCCAGUAAGGCUUUUUCACUAUUCAGGAUCCCUUCACCUUUAUUUUUUCGAAUUCUCUUCCUUUUUUUAUUUUGUUUUUAUCCCUUUAUUUGUUCCUGUUGAUCUGAGCGAGAUGGAAAUCUGGGUGCAUGUGAUCUGUAACAGUUGUUGUUCUUGAUUAAUCCACUACCCUUUCGCAUUUACUUUCUGAAUGGUUUUUGUGCCUUGGUAGAUUUGAGGUCAUUGAAUAUCGUGCCACAGUUAUAUCACUCGUUUGAGUCAACGUUCAAAUUCACCAUAAUAUCCAUACCAUUGUGUUCGUUUUAUUUUCUUCACUUGAGAUAUGUGUGCGUUUCAUGUAUGCGUGAGUGUGAUAAUGGUUUUUUCCCCCCACAGUGUUUCCGUCAAAAUAUCUCUUAGCUUAGUGUAAUGAAUCUGAACUUAAAACAGGUUUUGCUCCUCUUGUGUUUCUUCUGCUUGUUAUUGGGUGCACUGCAAGGCCUUUUUAUCCUCUUCCCAGCAAAGGUGAUGGGGGAAGUAGGAAGCCCCUACAGACUCUUCGCCCAUACAACAUUGCACAUCGCGGUUCAAAUGGAGAGAUUCCUGAAGCAACUCAUCCUGCAUAUACGGUGAAGUCUAUUUUUGUGCAAAAUUACUUUCCUUUUUUUCGUUAUUCUGUUUCUGAUUUGGAAAUUGACUAUAAUUAUUGUUUCAGUAAAUUCAAUUAUGCACAAAUAUGAUUAGGUAAACUGUAUAUGAUAUAGUAAAACAUAAAUUCUAUCUUUGGCUUAUGGUUACCCAAAAACGAAUGUUUCUUGCAGAGAGCUAUUGAAGAAGGGGCAGACUUCAUUGAAACUGAUAUCUUAUCAUCCAAAGAUGGUGUUCUUAUAUGUUUUCAUGAUGCUACCCUUGAUAAUACUACUGACAUUGCAAAUUACGCAGAGUUUGCUAAUCGUAAAAGAACGUAUGAAGUCCAAGGGGAAAACAUCACUGGGUUCUUUACUGGUAGAGUAGCUAAACUUGCUAUCCUUAGUUCAGCUUCGUUGCAAAUUUCCUUAAUAAAUAAUUAUGGGGUUAAUAUGAUUGCUACUGUCUGUGACAUAAAUGCAUAAGCUUGAAAUUGCUCUCUGUUUUCAUUGUUUUUAGUAGUGUAUCCUAGAAGGUUUGCAUAUGUUUCAAGUUUUCUAGUUUUGUUGAAAAUCCUAUUUGCCAUCUAAAGCAUUUUUCUUCAUGCUGUAAUAAUCUAAUUUUCCAAAAUAAGUUUACUUUUAUGUAUAUUUGCAGUUGAUUUCACAUUAAAGGAGUUAAAGUCAUUGAGGGUGAGACAGAGGUAUACAUACAGGGAUCAACAGUUUAAUGGUUAGUCCCUCCUUCCACAGAGUAGUCUCUCUCAUUUUUUUCCUCUUCAAUGCCUUGCUGUUUUCAUUUUUGGGAAAGCUUACUGCUGAUGACCUUUUUUUUCUUGUGAUUACUACAUGAAACUAAUAUCGCUUUUGCACACAUAAAAAGAGGCCGUUAAUCUAUAACUACUGAGAAUCUAUUUCAGGAAAGUUUCAAAUCAUCACUUUUGAAGAGUUCAUUACCAUAGCACUGCAGGCACCCAGAGUUGUUGGAAUAUAUCCAGAGAUAAAAUAUCCAGUAUAUAUCAAUCAACAUGUGAGUAUUUCUUUUUAGAAUACAACAAAUGCCUAAAUGAAAGGCAGAGCUAUUGAUAUAUAAUUCAUCUAACUGAAGAAUAUAAUAGAAUCCACCAAUUUUCAAAUUAAAGCUAAUAAUGAGUAUUACUGGAGGUGAGAUUAUAUUGUUGGGAGUUUCUAAAUGCAAAUUGCAUUAGGAAUUCUUAUGCCUGUUAGAAUGUUUUACAAUGUCAUGCUUGCUAAUUUCGUAAUAAUAAUAUUAUGUUUUAGCCAAGUUCUUUAGAGGUUUUGUCUUCUUUCCGUUCAUUAAGUUGACUUGAUACAAUCAACAGGUUAAAUGGUCAGAUGGAAAAAUAUUUGAGGACAAGUUUGUGGACACACUUCAGAAGUAUGGGUUCAAGGGUUCCUACCUGUCAAAAAAUUGGCUGAGACAACCUAUAUUCAUUCAGUCAUUUGCUCCAACUUCACUUGUGUAUAUAGCAAAUAAAACGGACUUGCCCAAAAUUCUGUUAAUCGACGAUAUUGAUAUUCCAACGCAAGACACCAAUCAGGUGUGUAAUGCAUAUUACCUCAUAUGUGCAACCUGCUGUAGGAUUAUUCUGUUCUGUCUACAACUUUUCAGAACAAAAUGUUUUGUUAAUGGAGUUUGUUAUACUUGUAAAGUUCAUAAUUUAUAUCAUAGUGAUACAUCUUCAGACCUUAGCAGCAUUUGUUAAUUUCUGCCUUAGCAUCAUAGUGAUACUUGCUUUGUCUCCAUUUUAUGUUACAGUGUUGUUUUGAUUGUCUAUUCCAAAGUCUAACAAAAUAGUACUGUGAUGAUUAUGUGCAGUCAUACUGGGAGAUUACAUCUGAUGAAUACCUAAACUACAUAAAGCAAUAUGUUGUAGGAAUUGGACCUUGGAAAGACACGUUGGUACCUGUAGCAAAAAAUUAUAUGCGAACUCCUACUGAUCUUGUUUCCAGGGCACAUGCUCAUAAUCUGCAGGUACAGAUCUUUAAAGCUUAUUUUUUCUCGUAAGAUUUAUGGAUUUGAUACUUUUCAUUUUCUUGCAUUAUCUGUUUUGACAUAUCUCCUCUUUAAUUUGUAAUCUUUGUAUUGUCUUCCAUGAAUGAAUGGUUUGGAGCCAAACACAUGACAAUAUGAAUUGCUAAUAUCCUUACAGGUGCAUCCAUAUACUUACCGAAAUGAGAAUUCUUUUUUGCACUUCAACUUUAGUCAAGAUCCGUAUAUGGAGUAUGAUUACUGGAUCAACAAGAUAGGCAUUGAUGGUCUGUUUACGGACUUCACUGGUAGUCUUCAUCAUUUUCAGGAAUGGACCUCUAAACAUCAAGAUGAUGAUAGUGACAACGAUGAUAACACUGCAUCCAAACUGUUGCAUAAAAUUGCAAUGUUGCUCGCCUCUUAUAAAUGAUCUCAAGAAUUCAAAUAUUGUAUUAUGUGUUUGGAUUAAUUUAUUGUGUUCAAAAAAUCUUAUAAUAAUAUUUACAAGUGAGCUUUUGACUAAAAAGUUAUCUGACAAUUAAGCAAAAUCAAACAUCACUAAUCACAAUAUAAAUCUCCAUAUAAAGUUUUGGAAUUUGUCUAAUAAGAUAAUUAGUGUUUAACAUACUUUUAAUUCAAUUUUUAUAGUUGGUUAAAAUUUAUUAGAUAUAUAAAAGGAUUUUUUAAAAUAAAAAGUAAAACUCGUAACAUUACAUGAUUUUUAAUAAAAUUCAACGAAUAAAUACUAGGAUGUUUAUGUUUUAAAGUGCGUGUAGAUAUUCUUUCAAAUGCCAAAUAGCUUCCAUUAAUUGUAAAAAAUAGGUUCAUAUUUAUUCAAUUACUUAGAUGAGAUGAUGGUAAGAAAACAAGAAACUUGAUCUAAAAGUUCUUUAAACACUCGACUCCCUAUUACUUUUAAGUUGCUAUUUUGAAAUUUUCCGAUAUUUGUAUGCCCACAGAAUUCCAGUUGGGAAUAAAGAUGCUUAAUAGUACAAAAAAUGUAUCUUGAUAUUAUUGUCUAUUCCCAUUAGUUUAAUGAUUAUCUUGAUAUUAUUCAGAAAACAAUAUUGUGAGGCGAUGCUACAAUCUAACCUAGAAAGGAAAUAAAGAGAUAUAAUAGUAAAAUUAGUAUUUUCAUAAGAUGUAGGGAUAGAAUAGUCAUACAACACAACACAUAAGGGUUCGGGGGAAGGAUUGCACUAAUAAGCCUCUCUAUGCUUGUAAAAAAGAAGAUAUUAUAUCUAUUUAGUUGCAACAAAAUUUUUGAGCCAUUUAGGUGAUUGGAUCUUGGGUCUGUUGGGUUCAGUAACAAUAUCCUCUAUAACUUUAUCCUCAAAGUUGGGAAGAGUAUGGGUUGGCAUGGUUGAGAGGAUACAGGAUAAGGGAGUAAUGGGAUAGGCCAGAGAUGGCGUAUUUGAUAUUUAAGAGAUGGCCAGAGAAAACACAUUCAUAAAACAAUAUAUAUAAAACCAAUCAAAUCAAGCUUACUUCUUAAUAAACAAAUCUCAAAGUUAUAAUAAAUCUUCUUCGCAAACCAGUCCUUAACUUCAAAUAUUUAGUUUCACUUAACUUAAUACUCUUUCCAGAAACAAAGUUAUAUUUUAUAUCAAUUCAUUUAUAUUUUAGAAUAAGUAUGAUGGACAAUUAAAUCAAAAGAUUAUGACUAAAUAAACCAUUGGUUUCUAAUCAUAAUCUAGAACCUUAUCUAUUUUAAAAUUAUAAUCAAAGAUUAAGCCCUAAAAUACAAGUUUUUAAAGAGUAAGAUUAGUAAAAUAUACUGUAUUAUGACACUGAAUGAAAAAUCUAAUCAAAACAUAGAGUGCAAACUUUUCUACCUAAUUGGGGAAGAAUAUUUGAGGAAUCACUAAUGUCAUGAUGGAAAAUUAUGAACAUGUGGAUGACAAAAAUUUAGCGCAUAUUUCCAGAAGUCUGAAAAUGUUUGAUAAACCACAUAGGGUAUUAAUAAUUACAACCAGUAAUAUCACUCAAAAAGACUUAAAAAGAUAUAGAAACUAUAAAUCUGCAUAUCCAUCUCUUAUGUUCUCAUCUUUGAUAUUUCUUCCAGCAUAAUCCUUGACUCUGCGGCGAAGUCAACAGGAACAACUGCCCGAGCUGUAAUCCUUUGCCGCUUUUCGUUAUUAUACUCGUUCUGGCUAACACUCACGCGGAAAAGAUGUGGAACCCAAGUUGCUUGCUUCAAUUUCAGAUUAUAAGGAUUAUCUUCUCCUUCCUGACAAUAACAUGACAUGUAACGUUAAAUAAAGCAUUCUAUCAUCCUGUUUCAACAAUUAACGAGUUACUGAUCUUACUUGUGAUUUAAGGUCAUCUAAGUCAUCAGCAGAGCAUCCAACAAUCUUCUCAGCUUCAUCAUUAAAAACCGAGAUGAAAGCCUCACCACUUGUAUCGCAAACUCUAGCAACCAUAAUAUACCUGAAAGGGCAAUGAAAACGUUAAAUGCAUGUAUCAGAUAGAAAACAUAACACUAAAGGUGAUCAAUGUAAUACCUUAAACUGCACUGUUCAUCGCUUUUCUGGCAUCCUUCGCACCAAUAUCCAGAACCAAUGCUUUCAGUAACUUUCUUAUUGCAUGUCUUACAGGCACGAUACCACAUUGCCUGGUCAGGCUUUAUGAAGCUUAUAUAUCCUUUAAGGCUGAAAAAUGCAGGCUGCUCAAAGCAACAUGAGAGACCACAAGUCAGGUUAGUGAAUCACAUAACAAUCCUUUCAAACUUGCAAGAGUUCUAAUACUAUGUUGUCCGAAUGUUCAUAUCAAACAACAAGAUGGAACCAUCUUGACAAUGUCCAACAUUCAAGAAAAUUAGCUACCAAAUACCUUCAUAUCCCCCAAUGAUUGGUUUGAGGUUAUGUGAGAAAGAGCAACACGAUCAGAGUACACUGAUCUAAUUCCAUUAUUAGAUGUCGGACUUGAACCAGAACCUAGAGCGUCCAUUGCAGCAUCUUUUCCUUCAAAUUCAUACCUGCGGACCAUACAGCACAAAAGUAUGACUAUCAUAAAUAAUACCAUAACAAGGAAAGUAGCAUAGCGUAGCGGAUAUUGGCAUACCAGCUUCUGAGUUUCUUAGCUUCAGGUACGUCUGGAUUUACCAGAACUACACUUCUGCUUAUAGUUGACAAAGAAACACCUGAUACAGAUAUUCAAGAACGCUUAAUAUAUGAUCCUCUUGCACCAGUGUCACAUAGCGCUUAUCUAAGUAAAGGUUAGCAUACCUUGGAAGUCCCCAACCCUGAGAGACUUGAUUGCAACAACUGGAGAUUUAUCAACAAUGUCCAGUAACUCUUGUCCCGUGUUAGUAGCAAGAUCAUUCCACAACGACACAACCACUGUCUUCUUCCUGAAAUGUCAGGCGCACACAUUUAAAGCUACACAAUUCAACAAAGCUGUAUCCUACAAGGUAAGAACUAAAAUCAACUGCACUACAUGAAUCACAAUCAUCCAACGCAAUAUAAUGACCUCGUUCAAAAAAAACAUUGAUUAUCAUAGGAACACUCUUAAAAUCUCCCUAUACAUAAAGUUUCUCAAUAAUAAUACUCUAAUGGUUGAAAAACCAAACACUCAAGGUGAUAAGUAGUAAAUACUCACGUUUCAUCAGCAAUAGUAAUGUCGCGCUUUGGAAUGCUCUCGUUGUCACUCUUCCUACGAAUGCUCAUUGUUGAAGACACACUCUUAACAACUCCAAUGACAUCUGAGAUAACGUAAGAUACAAUCAAUAAUGAAAGAGGGAAAGAUUAAACCACAACAAUUAGCGCAUCUUCUAAACAACACUCACCCACAAGUUCAGACUUGUUGACAUAAGGACCUAACUGAUCAAUCUGGACAAAGCUAAAUUUUGUUUCUGGGACAAAACUUGCUUCGUCCGCCACCUCUUCCACCUCAGAAUUCUCAUUGAGCGUCAUUUCAUAGUCAUUUUGCACAGUCUUGAACUGUUUGUUAGCAACUUUCAAAGUCCCCUUCGAAAUAUAGUAAACCUUUCCCAGAACAAAUCUGUCAUAAAAUUUCCUCGCGGCAUCGUUAAACAUGGUUGCCUGGAUUUGAGUACCCUGAAAUUAGAGAAAAAAUAACAUCAACGACUAUACUUAACCAAAAAAACAGCAUCCAAUUCCCAAACAAAGAAAGAACAAAGCUUACUUCUUCGUCAGUCAAUUCAACAUUGAAUACACAACCUUCACCCCUAGCAUUCUUAUAGGUACGCAUGUUCCCUUUGCUUGUAACGCUAACCUUUAUCGUCCAAUUACCCUGAUAAGGGUUCAACGAAACAAGAGGACGUACCCUACGUGUCAUUGCCAAGCGUGCAGCAGGAGCCGAACUAAAAUAAAAUAAGAGAUAAAUUUUUUAAAAAAAAAUGUCGAAGAAUACAGUAAGCGAAAAAAAUCCCUAAAUAUCAGAACGCAUUGAAAGGAAACAAGAACACAAAAAUACCGCUCACUUUCUAUGUUGUUCAUUUAGAAUCUGAGCAGCAGAUUUUGUCACCACUUCCUGCUUUUGCUUCAAAAGAAUCCCAGCAGCACCUUCACUCUUCGCACCAACCUCUUCCUUGGGUUUCAAAAGAAUCGCAGGCUCAUCGCUCUUGAUCUCCUUUUCAAGAGCGGGAGAUACCGGCUCACAUUUCGUGACAAUAAGGUACCUGCAACAAAACAUACAGACCAAAAAUCAGAAACCUCGAAUCAUCUACGAAAGCUAGUGUACGGAACGAUAACUGCAACGAAACUACGUCUUACUUUUCAGAUUUGUUAGGGAUGUCGUUGAGAGUGUAAUCAAGAAUGCGAACAAGACCUAGGUUUUGAAUGUUCCCGGAAAGAACCUCAGAAUACAUAUUCGAAGGAAGAAUCGCCCUCAGUUUCUUUUUUCCAUCACUGGCAGAGAACCUAAAAUACCACAUAAAAUGCAUUAAGUGAAAAAAAUUGCAGGAAAUUCCAGAUCCGGAACAAAAAAAGGGGGAGGAGCAACGAAAUGAGUAGAUUAGAGAAACAAACAUGUAUCUAUUGCCGCUAGGCUUGAGAUCAACUACUUGAACAACGAUGUCGGAAAGAUCCGACGAAGAAUCGGGGGAAGGGUUAGCGAGGAGCGUCGAAACGGCGUCGGGUGUGAUUGAUUUUGCAGCCAUUGGAGGGAAGUUUUGGAGAAGAGAAAGGAAUGAAGAGAGAAGAAUAAGAGUAAGGUUGAGGAGCGCUGAGAGAGUGGUUUUGUACAGUGGGGAGUGUGGCGGGAAACGGCAAUUUUGUGAGCAGCGUUUUCAAUUCGAGGACUUUUCGCGCUUCGUUUUCCUAAGCUUCUCGCGCCAUUAGUUUUUACUUCUUUUUAUAUUCAUCGAUGGUAAUAAUAUUUUCUAUUUUUUAAUUGGAAUAUUACUUUAGAUAUAUCUAAAAGUUACGUUUGGUUAAAUUUUUUAGUUUUAAUAAUUUUUAAACAAACAAAUUAAAGUUUUAAUAAAGUUAGAAAAUACACUCUUUUAACAGAAGAAAACAAAUUAUGUGAUCAUAAAAAAAAUAGGAGUCAAUUGUAAUUGAUAAUAUAUUUCAAAAAUAUUCUAAAAGAGAAAUAAAUAUUUUCUAAUUUCAUAUUUCUAAAAAUGCAAAAGAAAAUCCGCAAAAUAUAUUCCUCUGUUGUUUUCCAUUUGUUUCCCCCUAAAUUGUGCCCGAAAAUAGUGUCGUUAUAUUUUUAUGAAAUAUAGUGCUUUAUUAAAUUUGAUUAUAAAUUGUAUCGAUAUCCAAACAAUGGAUCAAUAUUUUGUGAUUAGUUUAGAUUGGAUAUCGAAUUUAAUUUUUUGAAAAUAAAUCAAAUUGAAUUAUACAUAUGUAUUUACAUAUUUUUAUUUAUAAAUUUAUGAUAUUCUUCUUGUUUGUAUUUUUAUUAAGUUUAUUAGAUAACUUAUACUUAUUCAUACAAAAAUUAUCAGAUAUAUUUGUAUGAAUAUUUAGAAAAUGUAUAUAAAUAAAACAAUUAAGUUGUAUAAUUUUCUUAUUAAUAUAUAUGUUUGGAGAAUUACAUUACAGUUAGCUGUGUAAUCAUUAUUACGCCUUAUAAAUAAUAUCUAUUUGAUAAUUCAAAUAACUUGUAAUUAUCCUUACUAUAUAUAUUAUCAUUUCUUAAAUAUUUUCUAUAAUAAAAUAAAAGUAAGACAUAAAAUUGAAAAUCAAUCAAUCCAAAUCAUAUUUUCCGCUUUAAAAUUCAAAUUUUCAAAGUAAGACAUGUCACCAAGUUUUUUUUUUUCCUUACCCUUAUAUAUUUAAUCUUGUCUUCCCACUAAGUUAUGGUUUCCGUUUUUGCAAUAAAGAUAUCUUUGUUUAUUAUAAUUUAAAAUAAAAUAAAAAACAUAUAAAUAAUAUUAUAUGACGAAAAAAGAUUAACAUUAAGAUUUUUUUAUUGUGGUAUGAUGAUUAUUUGAUUUGAUUGUAUAGCUGUCUAAUCACAGAUUUUUGCAAUUAGUUUGAAAACACGAUAUUAGUUUGAAAGUGACUAAUACAUAUAGCUUAUCAACCAAAUCAGGCACAACGUUAAGUCAUAAUAGUUUAGAGGUUAUUUUAAUUUAACUAACAGUAUCCAUGUCACUAUUUUUAAUUGAAAUAUAUAUAUAUAUAUAUAUAUAUUAAACUAAUAGAUAAAUCAUAGCACAAGCACUAACUAAAUUCCAUUGAAAUUAUAACAUCUAUUCAAACAAACAACAUACAUAAUAAGAUCAAGAUAGGCAAAUUAAUUGCAAUACCAGCUCAACCUAAACUUAAACAUAAUUAUACAUAAACUAUUAUUAUGUAUAAUUUUAUGUGAUCCUGAAAAUCUAAAUACUCUACAUAAAUGUGAUAAACAGCAACAAAAAAAUACUUGUACUUUUGAAGCACAUAGCAGGAGUAAUAGAAAGAAGAAAUUUAUAGACAGAAACAAAAUUUAUAAGAAAAAUAAAGAGCCAUAUGUAAAAAAAGAAGGAAUGAAUUAUGGAUAGAAUAAAUAACUAUAAAAAUGUAAAAGAAAAGUUGGCAAGAACAAUGGAUUUUUCAUGCCAUCUAAGAGUCAUUGAUUAUUGACCUAAAUAACAUACAUGAGUUGUAUCCAUGUUUUAAAGCUUUAGAAUUUUACAUUUUGCUCUAUUCAUAAUGACACAUUCUUCAAUUGGAAAUAUAUAAGUUAUAUAUAGCCUUACAAAGAAAAAACUAAACACCAACAAAUAAAAUAUACUUAGUAUCUAUGACACAUAUACAUACACUGCCACAACACGAAUACGGAUACAAAGAUAGGUAUAAUAUCUAAAAUGUAGGACACGAUGACACAUAUUUAUAUAUUAUAUAAUUAUGAAUUAUAUAAAUUGACAAUAAAUAUUUACAUGCACAAGUAUGUUUCAUAUUUUUUGGAAACAGAAAGAUGUUUUUCAUGACUGGUUCAAAAUAAUUUUUUUCUUAUUUUUAUAAUCAUAAUAAAAAUUUAUACAAUAAAUUUAAUUUUUUUUUAAAUUAUUGUAUUUAUCAUUUUUAAAUUUAUGUUAUAACCGUACUAUAAUUGUCAGAAAUCCAACAAAUAUUUUUUAAAUUAAAUAUUUCACCGAUAAAUGUUUAAGAGAAUACUUUAAGAAGUGUUUGGAUAUAAGAACCCGUUAACAAUAUAAAAAGAAUAGGGAUUUAUUUAACGAAAUGAGCAAAUUUGAAUUAAUCCUAACAUUCUUACCAUUCCUACUUCUAUGUCAAUUAAAAAAUAAAAAUGUACUCAAUUACUUGUUCCACAACUAAAAGAAGAGUCAUUAUUGAAAAUGUGUAUAGAGGAUGAGAGUUCGAACAACCUUUACUUAUUCCAAAGAUCAUUGAUAGGUUCAGAACAUCAAAACAAACCAAAAGGUAUCUAACCACUUAUUAUAAUAAUAUUAAAAUAAUACACAUAUUAAUUUUAAUAUAUAUUGUACCUGGAGAGAUGGGGACCAGGCACGGUCGGUUGACGUAGUGUAAUUGUUGACGUGUCGAUCUUCUUCUUCGGUCGGUCGUUCCUUCUGGGUGUCUCCUUCAGUCGGUCGCUCCUUCUUGGUGUCUCCUUCGGUCGUGCGGGGGAGGGUACCUGCGAAGACACUCUGACGCUCAAGUGAGUAUGAGAUUCUAAGUGUGGUUUAGUGAGUGAGUGAGAACGUACCUUUAUCUGGCUUGAGCACGGUAUUUAUAGGAUUACCUAAUGGGCUUUCUACCCCUUUGGGCUCGGGGUGGUUAUGGAUAGGUCUUUGCCAGUCGUGCUCCAAAAUACCCGGGGAAUAUAUCUUUAAAUGCGUAUUCCUUAUUCUUCGGAGGUGUAUCUUAACCACCUUAUCUUGUUACGUAAAUAUCAAUAUAUCUUUAAAUGCAUAUUCCUUAUUCUUCGGAGGUGUAUCUUAACCACCUUAUCUUGUUACAUAAAUAUCAAUAUAUCUUUAAAUGCGUAUUCCUUAUUCUUCGGAGGUGUAUCUUAACCACCUUAUCUUGUUACAUAAAUAUCAAUAUAUCUUUAAAUGCGUUCGGUCGGUCGGCCACGUGCGUUCGUCCGGUGCCUAUCGGUACACUUGCCCCCCAGGCUCGAGGGGAAUAAAAGCCGAAGAGUCGUAAUGAUUGUUGUGCAUUUCGAUGUGUCAGGCAUUAAAUGUAACGGAAUGACGGGACGUGCUCUUUUGGUCGGAUGGGACAGAGAUCGAUCCGACGGUGGAGAUCGAGUGACGGUUCGACUUCCGACUGGCUGAGGUCGUAGGAUGAAUGUGCAUCUGACGGUUGAGGGAAGAGGAGGAAUGUUAUAAAUAGCGUUCGCAUUUAUUGACGGCCGGUUUGGAGAUUGCUUCCCACCUACUCUCCACCAUCCCUACAACGAAGUUGAUGGUGGAGACUUUAGAACUGCAAAGUCGGGCGCUCGUGGCGAGCCGAACGGUGAUUGAGGAACUUGAGAGAGUUACGACCGUCACCGUUCCUCGCUUGAAGAAGGAAAUGACGGAAGCAAACCAAGCUUCAAAGGCGUCGGCCGGGAUGGUCGAGAAGCUAAAAGGCCAACUGGAGGAGGAGCGGGCGGCCGUAAAGGCGUGUGAAGAGCAAAAAAGAGGGUUUGAGGUGCAAUUAAAGGAUGGGGCCAACCGGGAGGAGGCCCUCAAAGCUGAAGUGAAAAAAUGCCAAGACUUUAUGCUCCGCAUAAGUGAGGAGUACUUUCGGCUGGGUCUUCAAGAUGCAUAAAUAAUUUUGAUUACGUUAAAGUAAUGAUUCUGAUGCCGAACGAGGCAUAAAUAAUUCCGAUUAUGUUAAUGAUAAUUCUGAUGCCGAACGAGGCAUAAAUAAUUAUGAUUACGUUAAAGUAAUGAUAAUUCUGAUGCCGAAUGAGGCAUAAAUAAUUCCGAUUAAGUUAAAGUAAUGAUAAUUCUGAUGCCGAACGAGGCAUAAAUAAGAGAUUUAUGUGUAAGUGUGUGAUAUAUGUAGUGUGGCGAUCAUCACGAAGGGGGAACGGAUGCAAGUCUUCUCCUGCCUCCAUACGGGGAUCGUCCAUACGAGGGUCGAGAUCAACGAGGGCUAUCAUUUGUCGACGGGACAUGCGUCGUCCGGAAUGUCGGGUCGGGGAUCGUCCUCUUUUUUGCGGGAGUCGGUCGUCCGGAUUAGUUGUGUAGAGCCGUCGAGUUGGCUCAUUUUUCAAACUUGCGACAUAACAUUCUCUAGCGGUUUUUUGAUCGACAUGGAUUGUUGCAAUGUCGUUAUUUGCCGAAGGGAAUUUCAUGGCUAAGUGUGGGGUGGAAACAAUGGCUUUUAACCUGUUGAUGGACGGACGACCGAGCAAGAUGUUGUAGGAAGUCUGGGCGUUAACCAGAAGAUAUCGUACGAUUAUUGUUUUAUGGAGACCGUCUUCUUCACCAAAGGUUGUAUAUAAGUCUAUAUACCCCUUAGUGUCGACCCGUUCGCCUGAGAACCCUACGAUUUGUUCAUUAUAGGGUUGAAUGUCUGCUUCUGGGAUGCGCAUUUUCUUGAAGAUUUCCCAGUAUAAUAUGUCGACCGAGCUUCCUUGGUCUACCAAAGUCUUGGCAAUUGCGAACUUGUCAUUUUCCACGGUGAUUACCAUAGGAUCGUCCUANNNNNNNNNNNNNNNNNNNNNNNNNNNNNNNNNNNNNNNNNNNNNNNNNNNNNNNNNNNNNNNNNNNNNNNNNNNNNNNNNNNNNNNNNNNNNNNNNNNNNNNNNNNNNNNNNNNNNNNNNNNNNNNNNNNNNNNNNNNNNNNNNNNNNNNNNNNNNNNNNNNNNNNNNNNNNNNNNNNNNNNNNNNNNNNNNNNNNNNNNNNNNNNNNNNNNNNNNNNNNNNNNNNNNNNNNNNNNNNNNNNNNNNNNNNNNNNNNNNNNNNNNNNNNNNNNNNNNNNNNNNNNNNNNNNNNNNNNNNNNNNNNNNNNNNNNNNNNNNNNNNNNNNNNNNNNNNNNNNNNNNNNNNNNNNNNNNNNNNNNNNNNNNNNNNNNNNNNNNNNNNNNNNNNNNNNNNNNNNUGAAUUCCUUGUCCUCUUGACGAAUUGUCGCAAAUGGCCAGCCUGGAUGAGCUCUUCGAUUUUUUCCUUCAACGCCUGACAUCCUUCGGUUGUGUGGCCGAAGUUUCGAUGGUAUUGACAAUGCUUAGCGGUAUCUGCGUUCGAUGGCGUUUGAUAUCGCUUCAGUGUCGGGAUUAAGUCCGUUUGUAGUGCUUCAUAUAGGGCUCGUCCCCGCGGAACAGUUAAAGGGGUGUAACUGUUGAAUCUGGGCAUACGGCCUCCUCUAUUCUGAUCGGGCCUCUGAGUGGUUCGGACGGUCCGUUUGGCUUCGAUUUCUCUUUCCUUACUCGGGAUUUGAUCUUUGAGGACUCCGGAUCCGACGGCCUUGAACCGUUGGUGAUAGUCGAUGUGUUCUUCGAUUUGCAUGAAUUUGGUUGCUCAAGUGCGGAGAUCUUCCAUGUUUUGAGGUGGUUUUUUGAUGAGACUGUCGGCAAAACGACCCGGCCGGAUGGCCGAGACCAAAUGGUGUAAUGCAACGUCCUGUUUGAGUCCUCGGAUAUUCAUACAUGCUUUGUUGAACCUGUCUAGGAAGGUUCUAAGAGGUUCACCUUUCUCUUGUUGCACCGAUAGGAGAGACAUGGAAGACAUAUGAUGCGGUCGACUGGUGGCAUGUUGGGUAGAAAAUUUUGCGGCUAGGACGUCAAAGUCAUCGAUGGAGUUCAGAGGCAGCUCUGUAAACCAAGUAAGAGGUUCUCCUUGUAGUGACGUUGGAAAAACUUUACACCACACAUUGUUAUCUGUGGUGUACAAGGUCAUCUGUGUUUUAUAAACAUUUAAAUGCUCAUCUGGGUCGGUCGAGCCGUCAUAGAGUUUUAUGGUGAGACCCCUCCAUUUGUCAGGAAGUGGAGUAGCAAUAAUUUCGUCUGUAAAAGGAUGAGCCCUUUUACUCGACUUUCUUUCGAUUGUUUCAGCUCUGGAAGCAGGAUUGGUUUCGGCCGGCGUAGGUAUGCGAGAGGCGGUUCGGUCGGUUGCAUGGGAUUGUCCUUCUCGUUCAGGAUUAUCGACCUGUCGCUGGAGUCGCGCGUUCUGCUCUCUCAAUAAGGCGAUUUCUUCCUCUUGGCGAUGUCUAUCCUCUUCGUGUUGACGACGAUCGUCCAUCCCCUUUUGCCGCAGUUCCUCCAUCUGAGUUUGGAGGGUUUGAAUCAUGGUCAUCUGUUCCGCCAUGGCGUCGUUGUUGUUCCUUGUUGCAACCAUUAUAGCUUUAAAAAUUGAAACUUUGCCUCGGCCCCACGGUGGGCGCCAAUUGUACCUGUUGUGGAGAGAU